CCCUCUCUACCAACCCCAGAUGCAAGCAGUGCCUCUGGAGGAAACUAUUCUGAGGAUGUUCAGUCAUUUGACCAGCCUAAUAAUGACUUUUGUGGAAACUUCUUGGCAGAGCUAGAGUCAACAGAUCUCUGUAAUGAUGACUUUCCUGGCAAUCACCAUCAACACCCCCAGGGCUAUACAGAUUACCCGCUUGGCAUUAGUCGGAGGGACCAAUGCCGAAAAUAUGAUCCGGCAAAUGCUAUCCGCUACCAUGGCAAACCGUGUAGCAUGCAUCUUCAACUGGGCGGGAAAGGGACCGAAGAGGGCCUUCAAGGAAACGUUAAUGCAGGAGUGCAUGUUUGUUGACAGAAUUGCAGUACAGGGGUGCCCUGCAGAAGUGGCUGUGUUACGCACCGGAGAGGAGUGGCGGGGUACCAAGAAAAGGCAAAGAUUAAGGACUAUUAAGGACAAAUGUUACUGUAAUGUUCUAAUUACAGGGUUAAUUAUAGGGUUAAUGUUCAUAAUUCCUUAAGAUGUUUGUUUAUAAUUGCUUUUGAAUAUUUAUUAAAUAACUUUUUGAAUAAUGGUCUGUUUUGUUGUUGUAGUUUUUUUGUUCAUAGAGCAUUCAAUAAAGCAGCUGUUCUCAACCUUGGUUUCUUAAAAAGAAUGGAAAUAGCCAAUCUAAUGGGGUUUAUAAUGAGGCAUAUUGUAAACAUACAAAGCAAGGUUGAAAAGUGUUGAAAUGGCCC
ensembl:lncRNA